AUGAAAUAUCACGUAAGUAUUCAGACCUUUUACUCAGUACUUUGUUGAAGCACCUUUGGCAGCAAUUACAGCCUCAAGACUUCUUGGGUAUUUUUUAAAUGUUUUAUUUAACCUUUAUUAAACAAGGCAAGUCAGUUAAGAACAAAUUCUUAUUUACAAUGACAGCCUACACCGGCGACGCUGGGCCAAUUGUGUGCCGCCCUAUGGGACUCCCAAUCAGAGCCAGUUGUGAUACAGCCUGGUUUUGAACCUGGUACGGCAUCUGCACCACCCUCAACCUCAAGGCUCUCCAGAGGGUGGUGCAGUCUGCACAACACAUCACUGGGGGCAAACUACCUGCCCUCCAUGACACCUACAGCACCUGAUGUCACAAAUGGCCAAAAAAAUCAUCAAGGACAACAACCAACUGAGCCUGUUCACACCGUUACUCUCCAGAAGGCUUUGUCAGUACAGGUGCAUCAAAGCUGGGACCAAGAGAAUGAAAAACAGCCUCUAUCUCAUGGCCAUCAGACUUCUAAACAGCAAUCACUAACUCAGAGAGGCUGCUGCCUACAUUGAGACCCAAUCACUGGCCACUUUUUAAUAAACGGAUCACAAGUCACUUUAAUUAAACAAUGCCACUUUAAAUAUUGCAACUUUGAUCAUGUUUACUGUAUAUAUCUCUAUUACUCAUAUCACAUUGUUACGUUCCCCAGUUUCUGUGUUGUGCGUUUAUAUGUGUUUGUGCGUAUUUCAGGAAAUGGCUUCCUGGAUUCCCUCAAGCAGCUGAUUGGUCGGCCCCAUUGCAGAUUGGAGCUGACCCCGCCCUCUCGUCAGGGGAUACAGCUGUCUGCAAUUACAGACUCCUUCUCCAGCUGUAUAAAAGCCAGUGUUCCUUUGCUCAAAGAGAGUUGAUGGUUAUGUCCUGUGUUGGUUGGUGCUCAGAGAGAGUGUCUUUGAUGGCCUGUGUUGGUUGGUGCUCAGAGAGCGUGUCUUUGAUGGCCUGUGUUGGUUGUUGCUCAGAGAGCGUGUCUUUGAUGGCCUGUGUUGGCGGUUGCUCAGAGAGCGUGUCUUUGAUGGCCUGUGUUGGCGGUUGCUCAGAGAGCGUGUCUUUGAUGGCCUGUGUUGGCGGUUGCUCAGAGAGCGUGUCUUUGAUGGCCUGUGUUGGGGUUGCUCAGAGAGCGUGUCUUUGAUGGCCUGUGUUGGCGGUUGCUCAGAGAGCGUGUCUUUGAUGGCCUGUGUUGGCGGUUGCUCAGGAGCGUGUCUUGAUGGCCUGUGUUGGUGGUUGCUCAGAGAGCGUGUCUUUGAUGGCCUGUGUUGGUGGUUGCUCAGAGAGCGUGUCUUUGAUGGCC
rnacentral:lncRNA from 1 species